AUUGAACGCUGGCGGCAUGCUUUACACAUGCAAGUCGAACGGUAGAGGGGCAACCCUUGAGAGUGGCGAACGGGUGAGUAAUGCAUCGGAACGUGCCCAGUAGUGGGGGAUAGCCCGGCGAAAGCCGGAUUAAUACCGCAUGAGACCUGAGGGUGAAAGCGGGGGAUAGCAAGACCUCGCGCUAUUGGAGCGGCCGAUGUCAGAUGAGCUAGUUGGUGGGGUAAAGGCCUACCAAGGCGACGAUCUGUAGCUGGUCUGAGAGGACGACCAGCCACACUGGACUGAGACACGGCCCAGACUCCUACGGGAGGCAGCAGUGGGGAAUUUUGGACAAUGGGCGCAAGCCUGAUCCAGCCAUGCCGCGUGCGGGAAGAAGGCCUUCGGGUUGUAAACCGCUUUUGUCAGGGAAGAAAUCUUCUGGGCUAAUACCCUGGGAGGAUGACGGUACCUGAAGAAUAAGCACCGGCUAACUACGUGCCAGCCGCCGCCGUAAGAC
rnacentral:rRNA from 1 species